rnacentral:rRNA from 1 species
UACAGAGGUCUCAAGCGUUGUUCGGAUUCAUUGGGCGUAAAGAGCUCGUAGGCGGUUUGUCGCGUCGGCUGUGAAAACCCGGGGCUCAACCCCGGGCCUGCAGUCGAUACGGGCAGGCUAGAGUCCGGCAGGGGAGACUGGAAUUCCUGGUGUAGCGGUGAAAUGCGCAGAUAUCAGGAGGAACACCGGUGGCGAAGGCGGGUCUCUGGGCCGGAACUGACGCUGAGGAGCGAAAGCGUGGGGAGCGAACAGG